UGGGCGUAAAGAGCUCGUAGGCGGUUUGUCGCGUCUGCCGUGAAAGUCCGGGGCUCAACUCCGGAUCUGCGGUGGGUACGGGCAGACUAGAGUGAUGUAGGGGAGACUGGAAUUUCCUGGUGUAGCGGUGAAAUGCGCAGAUAUCAGGAGGAACACCGAUGGCGAAGGCAGGUCUCUGGGCAUUAACUGACGCUGAGGAGCGAAAGCAUGGGGAGCGAACAGGAUUAGAUACCCUGGUAGUCCAUGCCGUAAACGUUGGGCACUAGGUGUGGGGGACAUUCCACGUUUUCCGCGCCGUAGCUAACGCAUUAAGUGCCCCGCCUGGGGAGUACGGCCGCAAGGCUAAAACUCAAAGGAAUUGACGGGGGCCCGCACAAGCGGCGGAGCAUGCGGAUUAAUUCGAUGCAACGCGAAGAACCUUACCAAGGCUUGACAUGGACCGGACCGCCGCAGAAAUGUGGUUUCCCCUUUGGGGCUGGUUUACAGGUGGUGCAUGGUUGUCGUCAGCUCGUGUCGUGAGAUGUUGGGUUAAGUCCCGCAACGAGCGCAACCCUCGUUCUAUGUUGCCAGCACGUGAUGGUGGGGACUCAUAGGAGACUGCCGGGGUCAACUCGGAGGAAGGUGGGGACGACGUCAAAUCAUCAUGCCCCUUAUGUCUUGGGCUUCACGCAUGCUACAAUGGCCGGUACAAAGGGUUGCGAUACUGUGAGGUGGAGCUAAUCCCAAAAAGCCGGUCUCAGUUCGGANUUGGGGUCUGCAACUCGACNCCCAUGAAGUCGGAGUCGCUAGUAAUCGCAGAUCAGCAACGNCUGCGGUGNAAUACGUUCCCGGGCCUUGUACACACCGCCCGUCAAGUCACGAAAGUUGGUAACACCCGAAGCCGGUGGCCUAACCCCUUG
rnacentral:rRNA from 1 species